rnacentral:tRNA from 1 species
UUUUAUAUAAUUUUUUAAAUUUAAAAUUUCAAAAAGUAUCAAAAACUUUUGUGCAUCAUACACCAAAAUAUAAA